GAGGGGUUUAGAGUGGUUUAGAGCUGUUUAGAGGGAUUCAGAGCAGUUCAGAAGGGUUUAGAUGGGUUUAGAG